CCCGAAUAAUCCAGUCGUUAUAUUACGAUCAAUUCGAUCACUCCAUUAACCAUUUCAUCGACAAAAGUAGUGGAUAGGGGCGCUGAAUUAUUCGAGUUAGUACAUGGAGGAAAGAUAUUCAAAGAUUAGGAUCGACGAUUUAAUAUCCAUUUGUGUAUUGUAUUUGUCGUGGUUGGAACGGCACCAGGAACAUAUUAGGAUAGACAACAAAAGUCUAGUGAGAAAAAUGUUAUGAAACACCAGCAAAAAAGAUUAGAUUGUUAUUCAGUCCUGACUUAUACAGUGUUUCUGAAGAUGGAGAUUAGAUCAGGCCUAUCCAGAAGCAAGGAAAAGAACAAUUCGUAGCACGUACAUCUACAGAGAAAGACAUGUUUAAAAAAACAGAUUUAUUUUCAAUUUUAGAAAAACCUGUUGAACUUUUACUAUUUCUUUUCUGUUUAUUUUACAUUUAUAUGUUGAUAUUUUGUUUCUUUAAAUUGCUGCACAGUUUUUCUAUUCAGUCCCAUAUAACAAAAUCAGCUGAAGAAAUUGAUAUUUUCAUAUUUCAAGGGAGUGUCCUUUUGCAUUGUUGAUAGCAGAUAUAUGUAUUGUCUUUUAUAUGUUGGGUUUAAAAACGGUCACAUCACAACUUCAAAUAAAAUACAUUUUUUAUGAAUGUUAUAUGUCAUUAAACAGACAUGAAAGAUGGAAAAUUAUAUAGGAACACAUUUUUUAUGACCUAAAUGUAUUGUCAAGGUAAAUUUAUUAUGUGAACAUAUCAAAUAUUAUCAAAAACACUGCUGGUUUAAA